UGCCCGCGGAGCCGCGGGGCGCGUUCGUGGUGCGGACGCGCGGCUCUCGCGGACUUCGGGAGCCCGGCCGGCCGGGAGGGGCGCAGAGCCGCGGGCCGGCGGCCAGGCUGUCCCGGGGAGGGCGGGAGGACGCUGUCCUGCGCCGGCGGCUCCGGGGCCGCUGCGGCGGGACAGCCCGGGGCGGCCCUGCCCGGGAGCGCGGGAGACAGGGCCGGGACCGGGGCGCCGAGACCGCAGCGCCUGGGCCGGGGGCGGCCCUGGACGAGGCGGUGGCGAGCGGGGGGGCGGGGGGUCGGAACCCCGUGGCCCGCAGGCAGGUGGAGCCGGGAGCCUCUGGUUCCAGCCUUGAACCUGGAAGAGUCCGGGACGGGGCUCUGCCCGCGCUGCGUCCCGGCCUCGCAGCGUCGCGCGACGGGGCCGGGCUGGGAAGCGGGUUUGCGGGAAGGGACAGGCGGGGCGGACCAGGCCCCGCGCGGGAGGAGGCGGAGGGGACGCAGCCGCCGAGAGCCUUGGAAAUUCUGGUUUGCUCCGGAAGAGCGCUCAGGGCGCCCUGCACCGGCUCCCUUUCAGGAGACACCUUGGAAGUCCCUCUAGACCAUCUUAACUCCGGAGGCGCCGUCCUUUCCAGAAGGCUCGGUGAGGCCGCACGAGGUGCGCGGAAGAAUUCAGAUUUCUCCCCAGAGGGUGCCGUAGGGUCACCGGUGCAGCAAAGAUGAGCCCAGUGUACAUGGCAACCCCAUCAUCCAGCCCUGAGUUCACCUUGCUCAACAUUUGGGAAAGCAAUCCUCUAGAAUGCUUCCUGGAGCCCCUAGGUGGUUGCAUGGGUGCGGUGCUCUUGGCCGCCAUCUUGGUGUGUGACUGUAUGACGCUUAUGAGCUGAACGGGGCGAGCGGGUCCAGAGGGAAGGCAGGGAGGCGUGCGGCAGUGGAGGGGUUGUGUGUUGGGUCAGCGGGAGCGCUGUCUUCAGCACGGAUUCCCAGCAGCAAGAGGAGCUGCUUCACGAGGGAGGCUCCGAGUGACCUCCCGUUGCCAAACCUUCUUAUCGUGGUGGAAGUGUAGUUUCCGAAAGAGAACCGGGAAAGAGAGGGAGAAAUGUCGUGUCCAGGCAGCCCUGGAAGACGGAACUGGGAGUAGAUGGAUCCACCACA
rnacentral:lncRNA from 1 species